rnacentral:rRNA from 1 species
AACGAACGCUGGCGGCAUGCCUAACACAUGCAAGUCGAACGAGACCUUCGGGUCUAGUGGCGCACGUGUGCGUAACGCGUGGUAACCUGCCCUUAGGUUCGGUAUAACUCCCCGAAAGGGGUGCUAAUACCGGUUAAUGUCUUCGGACCAAAGAUUUAUCGCCUUUGGAUGGGCCCGCGUUGGUUUAGCUAGUUGGUAGGGUAAAAGCCUACCAAGGCGACGAUGCAUAGCUGGUCUGAGAGGAUGAUCAGCCACAAUGGGACUGAGACACGGCCCAGAAUGCUACGGGAGGGAGCAGUGGGGAAUAUUGGACAAUGGGCGAAAGCCUGAUCCAGCAAUGCCGCGUGAGUGAGGAAGGCCGUAGGGUUGUAAAGCUCUUUGACACGGGAUGAUAAUGACAGUACCGGGAGAAUAAGCUCCGGCUAACUCCGUG